UUUCACCUGCCCAAGCCCAUUUUAAUACACAUAGUACAACCCAGAACCAACUAAAUGGGUGGAAAACAUUCUGCCUGACAAGACUGAUGGAGAAUACUGGUGAAAAUGUAAUGCUCUUUAUCUCCUACAGCACACACACACACACACACACACACACACACACACACACACACACACACACACACACACACACACACACACACACACACACACACACUGGGGGAAAUCUGUCCUUAAAAGCAAAUGCUGGUCGUAUGAUCUGUAUCCACACAUCCAUCCAGUAAAACCUUUCAUAGAAACUGCCAGUAAACAAUAAAUACGAUAAUUGUUUAUAAACAAAUAAUAUUAUGCUCAUAAAAAUAUGCCAAUUUAGCUGUUUUAUUUAUUCUGCUAUAUAUUAUUACAAAAAUGUGAUUACAGUACAGAAUAUAUAUGACAUAAACUGCUUCACGUUCACAAGGUCACGUUCUUUCUGAUCCCAUUUUUAAACCCUAGUUAGUGUGUAAUGUUGCUUUCAUAGCAUAAAUAAUACCUGUAAAAUGAUAAAGCUGAAAGUUCACUGCCAGUCGAUUUAUUUUCUUUAACAGAAUUCGCCUUUCAAAGCCUACAGCGAACGGCCGGUUUGGACUUCAGCCCUCUACUUUCUGCUUUAAUGAUGUCACUAGAACAGUUUUUUGACUAAACUCCGCCCACAGGAAUACAUCAGUGGCCAGCUAAGCUAACGGUGCGAGCCAAGCCAAUUUUAUUUAUUGGGAAACAGGAUAAAAAGGCUUCGAAUAAGUGGGUUGCAUAUAUUAUUACCCAUUGGCACCCCACUCCUGUCACUACAAUUUUUUGGAGGAGAUGCGGAGGGCUUUAUCUUGACAAAAGCAACCUCCACAGGACAGCAGCCUGAGAGCCUUGCCAUGGAGCGGCCUGAGAGCCCUGCUGAGAAAUGGCCGGAGAACCUCACCAAGAAGUCUGAGGCUAUAUUUGUACUAAAUCUUGUUCUUCUGUCUUCUAGACUCUCUCCAACCUCUCUUGCUCCUACUACCUCUACUGCUUUUACAACAAUUUUCUCUCCACUUUUUUUCCCCACCUCCACUGCCAUGCUCUAAGUUUUUGCCACAGAGGAAGAGGAAGAUAAAGAAAUCUACCUCUUCCCACUAUACCACACUUGUCUCUCUUCAAUUUGCAUCUGUCUCUUCCAGUUCUAAAUCUCAGAAGUGGCCACUGGUGAAGAACAGAAUAAAGGAUAACUUUUCCUGUUACAUCUUACUCCACAAUUUGCUCCUAGUCAAAUAUGUCUUCAUGUUAAUUAAAUUCAUUUAGCUAACCAGGUAUUUGUUAGCCAGUUCACAGUGUUUUAGAGCCCAAUGUCCAAGGACUGUGGUCAAUGUAAAUUCCUGACUUAAAUGGACACUUCACUUUUUUUUGCUAAUUUUCCAGCAGUAAGUUUUACCGUUUUAGAAUCCAUUCAGCUGAUCUCCGCGUCUGGCACUACCUUUUUUAGCAUAGCUUAGCAUAAUAAUUGAAUCUGAUUAGGCCAUUAGCAUCACGCCAAAAAAUAACCAAAGAGUUUCGAUAUUUUUCCUAUUUAAAACUUGACUCUUCUGUAGUUACAUCGUGUACUAAGACAGACGGAAAAUUAAAAGUUGUGAUUUUCUCAGCUGAUAUUUCUAGGAACUAUACUCUUAUUCUGUCGUAAUAAUCAAGGACUUUGCUGUCGUAACAUGGCUGCAGAAGGCAUAAUGAUAUAACGCAGUGCCCGAAAAUAGUCCCCUUAGUAUCUUUCAAUAGCAGGGGACUUUUUUCGGGCACUGCGUAAUAUCAUUUUGGUUGAUUGACAAAAACAAGCACAAAUUUGUUUGACACUAAUGGAAAGGACUGCAAAUCACUUCACAUAAAUAUGGACUCAUGUGAUUCACCUACAAAGCAUGGCAUUCAUGGCUUAAUAAACUUUUUGUCUUUUCAUCAUUUCAGGUUGCUGAAAAUGUAGAUGGCAGAAGGUUUCCUUUUCGAUAAAAUAACUGAGGAACAGAUAAAUGAGAGGAAAGCCGAAUUGAAAGUUCACUGGUUACGUGCUCUGUGUGUGGAAAAACCUGGGAUGACACAUAGGAGCCUGCCAGCGAAUUCCAACACAAGUCCCCACAUCCCAACCAGUUUUCAGCAUGACAGCCUACACCUUUACAUUAUCAAGCACCCUUCAACUGUUUAAUUUUGAGUGUCUUUGCUUGCUGUUCUUUAUUAAAGUUUUUGCACAGUA